rnacentral:lncRNA from 1 species
AGCUCCGAGUGCAGCAAACUUAGAUUCUCCGGUAACAGAAGAAUCUUCGGGUAGUGCUAGUUGCUUCCUCACUAUGCUACAAACUUUGUCCACCGUCUCGGGUUUGGCCUGAAGAUAUUAACAUCCAAAGAGCCAGUUAAGCAUAUUGAUACGGAGAAAUGCAUGUAAAGGCUUCAUCAUAUGGACUAUGUUACCCGAACUCGAAAUUGAAUGUUAAAUACAAGCAUGCUCAAAGUUUAAGUUUCCACACAUUUUUACACAACUAGACUUACAUGUAUCCAACUAUAUAAAGAAAGCAAAUAUCGGAUACAGAUAUUUCAAAGAAAUCGAAAAACCCGAUUUAACAUAAUAUAUUUUCCUAAAAACAACUUCGGCUAGGCCCAAACAGUUGCAGUUAAAGGUCCUUUCACCGGUACAGUUGCACAUUUAUGAUCUUGUUUUCGUAUAAAAGGAUUCCAAUGAUCGGCUAAUCGGCACCGCAUUAGCCAUUUAGCGAUGCGGAUCCGGUUGUUAAUUAGUCAGGCAUUGUACCACUAAAUGACUAUAUUUUCGGAUGCUGUAACAUACCAUUCUCGGUAUGUACCGGAUAUGGGUGUGUUUAAAUAUAUCAUUUCGGUAUUACCCUAACUACACAUAUUGGUAUAUGCCGGCACCGGUUUAGGCUCGAAUCGAUACGUACCGCACAAGAAACCCGGAGGCGCAAAGGUCCCGGUCGGAUUCUAAGAGAUGGGAGACUAAGUAAGUUGACAUUAGAGAUCCCAUGAUGAGGUACCUG